ensembl:lncRNA
GUGUAGAUUCACGAUAAGCGGUGAGCCUAGCGAACGUUUGCUAUCUGGCUGCCGUCCAUUCACUGACUUUCUGUGCUUGGGAUAUCGUUAGCUGUCUUCAUAAGCUACCUAAUUCCUCUUGUAUGUGGGACUGGGAGAGACAAGAACGCAUCAGGCAUUUGGACCAGACAAAAGAGCAGGCUCUAAAGUUGGAACCUCCCCACUGUCAUCAGCAGCAGAUGUCACAAAGUGCUUUUCCAAAACACCCCAAGGAGCAAACAACCGUAGUGUUGAAUUUCAGUGGCUAGGAAAAAGGGAAACCCACCAACCGCAACCACCCUGAAUGAGGACUGAGUAUUGCCAGCAGAGUACAGCCCAAUUGCACAAGUGCGCAACAGAGAGACAACAACAAGCCAGUGACUCCUCCCCCGAGAGGCAUUGGAGGGAGGGCAUCCCAGUGGCGACGAGAGCCCACCUGGCAAGACAGCAAGGGUGGACAGUAUCAAGCUUUUCUGGUCACCUUCACGCCCCUGGGCCAGACUACACCUAAUUAUAAACAGUGCUGUAGAGAUGAGUCUUUAGUAGACACUUGAACGUUUGCACUGAGUUUGCAUUUCUAACCUUAAUUGGCAAAUCAUUUCCCAGUAGUGGAGCUCUAUGAGAAAAGGCCCUGCCUCCGGCUGUUUGUUUAGAGAUUCUUGGUACAAUUAAAAGGCCUGCAUCUUGCGAUCGUAGGUCACGUGUAGGUAUGUAUGGCUGGAUCAUUUCAGCGAGGUAAGUAGGAGCAAGUCCAUGUAUUGAUUCAUAGGUAAACAAUAAAACCUUAAAAUCAGCCCUAACCCUAACAGGCAGCCAGUGUAAAGAGGAGUAAUGUGUUCAAAUGUUUUUGUUCUAGUUAGGAUUCUAGCAGCCG